CCUACGGGUGGCAGCAGUGGGGAAUCUUGCACAAUGGGGGAAACCCUGAUGCAGCGACGCCGCGUGAGUGAAGAAGUAUUUCGGUAUGUCAAGCUCUAUUAGCAGGGAAGAAGAAAGACGGUACCUGACUAAGCAGCCCCGGCUAACUACGUGCCAGCAGCCGCGGUAAUCAGUAGGGGGCAAGCGUUAUCGGGAUUUACUGGGGGUAAAGGGAGCGUAGACGGCCGUGCAAGUCUGAAGUGAAAGCCCAGGGCUCAACCCUGGGACUGAUUGGGAAACUGUGGAGCUAGAGUGCUGGAGAGGUAAGUGGAACUCCUAGUGGAGCGGUGAAAGGCGUAGAUAGUAGGAGGAACACCAGUGGCGAAGGCGGCUUACUGGACAGUAACGGACGUUGAGGUUCGAAAGCGUGGGGAGCAAACAGGAUUAGAUACCCGGGUAGUC
rnacentral:rRNA from 1 species